rnacentral:rRNA from 1 species
UACGUGAGGGUGCAAGCGUUACUCGGAUUUAUUGGGCGUAAAGCGCAUGUAGGCGGCUUCGUAAGUCUGAUGUGAAAUCCCGUGGACUCAAUUCAGGAACUGCAUUGGAUACUGCGAGGCUAGAGUAUGAGAGAGGUAGGCGGAAUUCUUGGUGUAGAGGUGAAAUUCGUAGAUAUCAAGAGGAACAACAGAAGCGAAGGCGGCUUACUGGAUCAUAACUGACGCCGUGGAAGAUGCGACAGUGUGGGGAGCGAACAGGAUUAGAUACCCCGGUCAG